CGGGGCGUAGCGCAGCCUGGUAGCGCACUUGCAUGGUGUGCAAGGGGUCGCGAGUUCGAAUCCCGCCGCCCCGACCA
rnacentral:tRNA from 1 species